UGCAGUAGAUGCAGUAGAUGCAGUAGAAAAUAUGGUUGCACAUGUUUCAAAUAAUUUUAAUACAACUUCUAAAAUAGAUAGAGCUACAUCUCCUAUCCCUAGAAGCAGUCAUUUUGUAGAUCAGUCAACAAGUAUGUCUCCACAGAGAGAAGAUGACUCUCUUGAGAAAAUAUAUCUCCAUAAAAAACUGCAGGAUACAAGAAAGUUUUAUUCAAAAAAGAUAAAAGUUUUGCGACAGAAGGUUCGACGAAGCAAAUCACGGAUUAUCUCUUUGAAGGCAAUUCUUGAUUUACUCAAAAAAAACAAUCUAUUGGAAAUGGAACAACUACAAAUAUUACGAGACAUAGACAACAUUUCAACAUCCAAUUACAAAUGAAACAAUAGUAGUAUUCCCAGAUCCUUGCCACAUGCUAAAAUUGUUUAGAAAUGCAUUUGGGGAUUUAAAAAAUUUUAUCAAUAAAGAUAGCAAAAUUGUCAAAUGGAAAUAUCUUGAAAAAUUGUAUAAUUUACAGACAGCAGAAGGAAUGCAUUUGGGAAAUAAAUUGCGAGUACAACAUAUUAAUUAUAGUAAACAAAAGAUGAAAGUGAGAUUAGCUGCACA